AGUAUGGAUGGUAUAUUUUUAAUACGUGUUUCGUUUACGUUCAUCCAGUUAUUUAUGAGCGAUUUUGAUCGAAGAGAAAAAUUUUUGAUAAAGUUUUAUAAAAUCGCGCUUUUAAUAAUAAAGUUGACCCUGUGACGCCAUCUACCAGGCCAGGCAGAAUCACUCGUAUUCCCAAUUUGAUCGAUAGAUGGCGCCACAGUUUCAUUUGGCGGUCGUUGAAAAAUCGACUGGUGGCGUAUAUUCUGCAAAAAGUGCGAAAAAGUCUUGAACAAUUAACGACAGCCUGUUGCAAGUGUUCAUUAAUCAUCUGUCAACAAUAUUCUACAACGAAACGAGGUGAGUACCCUUUUGGACUGUCCGAGUAUCUCAUCAAUUCUCGACGGCAA